CUGGCGUCCGGCGGCGGCCUGCGACGCCCACGGUUCCGCGGGCCGGAGCGGGGCUGUAGCGUUUCCGGGUGGCCCACGCGUGCCGCUUGCGGCCCUUUUCCGAGCAGGCCUUGACAUUAGACCACUUACCGCCCUGGACCCUUGCUCGCCUCCGCGCUUUGUCCCGCGUCUGGAGAAUGGGACGGAUGUCUUAACGUGGAGCCGGGGGCCAGGGGCCGCGCACCGUCCUCCCGUCCCUGCCUCCGACUCCUCGUCUCGGCGGCCCCCUGUGACGCCCUGCUCCUCCCCACGUUCGUCGUGGCCUGGCUUGUGCUCCGAGCGCUCGUGGCUUUUAUCGUUCCAGCUGGACUAGGGACGCUUAAGCCAGGGUCCUUGGCCGGGGCUCCUGGGCGCCGUGACCCGCUUCCCGGUUACACGCGGGGUAGGCUGUGUUGGUGCCCCUUUGAUUGGGGGUGGGGUGCCUUUCAUCAGACCCCGAUGCUGAGAACCCUCGGAGGAAGGCUCCCCGCAGCACCAGCUGCGUCUGCCACCGACGCUGGAAGGGCAGCCAGGAGAGCCUGAGCAAUGUCACAAUGUCACAGAGAUGGGGGUGGGUUGUGGGGUAUCAGCUUCUGCCUGUACUCAGCUAGCCUUCUGCCCCCCUCAUCAAGGUGAGUGUUUUUGGAAGAUCCCUCCGACUGCAGCCAGAGCCGGAUGGCUGUUCCUGUGAGGCAUGUGGGGGCAGGAGGGAGUUGGGCAGGCAGGAAAGGAAACAGCAAAAGCUGGAGUAGAAAUCUGAACCCUUUGGGGAAACUUUCUGGGCCUCAGUUUGUCCAUUUGUAAGGUGUGGGAGUUGUACUCCAUCUUUAAGUUGUACUCCACCUCUGACUCAAAGUCACCACUCCAGGUAGGUGAGAAUUUAUACGUGAUUGUAGCGGGGAGAGAGAAAGAUAACGUGAAGGAAGGGAGACGGGAGAGAGUGAGGCAGAGAGAGCAAAGGGGACAUGGAAGAGCAGGGUUUCAAGGGCAGAGCAGGACCCAGAGGCCUGCCCAGGUCAGAGAGCCAUCCCUAGAUUCAGACCCUCAAUUGUACUGCUGUGUGACCUUGGGCAGUUCACCCAGCUCCCUAGGCCUCAGGUUCUGCCUAAUUCAGGGAUACCAGUACUAUUAAUGCUAGGUGACACUGUCUUUGGGUCUUAGGGGAUCCCACAGGAUGCUGUAACUCUGAAAAAAAUAUGCAUUGACUUCUAUACAUAUAAAAUAAUUUCUGGAAAGAUACACAAGUUGGUGACAUGGUUUGUUUCAUGGGAGUUGAACUGGGUGGCUGGCUGGUGUUGUGGGGCGAGGGCGCAGAGCUUUGGAAGCGAACUUUCUUUAACUGUUGUUCUUUUUUGAACAAUAUGGCAAGUCAGAGAGAGAUGUCAGACCUUCAUGUCUCUGCACUGGUCAUGACUGGGUACACACCAGACUUGAAGGCAGAGGGAGCAUUAGGAAGGGCAUGCUCUGCAUUCCAGGACACCUAAGUUCUCACUGCCACCAACACACACUGGGUUUUAGUUGCUUCAUCCGUAAAUCUGGGGACCAGUGAGGGCUUUAUAGAGGGCAAAGCAAGAUCUUAGGAUCCCACUGGCCUGCAUUUGGAUCCUGACUCUACCUUUGACUAGUGAGUUUGGGUGAAUCACGUCAUCUCUCAGAACCUAAUGUUCUCAUCUGAAAAAUGGGGAUUGAUUAACAACACCAGCCUGUGUGCAGAGGGACAGCCCAGCAUGUUUGUCAGUGCUCCCGAAGUGCUGUUUCCAUGUUUCCCCUCUCCCAGCUUUGAAGAGCCCAUGACUGGCAGGCUGGAGGAAUGUAACCAACUAGUUAGUGUUUGUUGUUCUCAUCCCACAGAGUUUAAUUUCAUUAAAAGUUCUUUAGAAUAUGUGAUGCUGGGAGUGCAUGUCAAGGAGCACAGAGCUUCAGUUUACAGAACAAUCAGACAGGGGAUUAUGUAAAAAUAGCUGAGCAGGUGGAGGCUCAAAGCAGGCAUUCCAUAUGCUGGGGGGUGGGGUGGCGGUGAGAUCGCUGGUGGCCGGCCUCCUGUCCCCCGGUGGUGAGAAGGGUGAUUACAAGUCAGCAUCACAGCCUAAUGGUAAUCUGGACCUGGCUGUUUGUGGAUGCUGCACUGAGGCAUUAGACAC